UACGGAGGAUCCAAGCGUUAUCCGGAUUUAUUGGGUUUAAAGGGUGCGUAGGCGGUUUAUUAAGUCAGGGGUGAAAGCCCAGAGCUCAACUCUGGAACUGCCUUUGAAACUAGAGGACUUGGGUACGGGAGAGGUGAGUGGAAUUCCGAGUGUAGAGGUGGAAUACGUAGAUAUCCGGAGGAACACCAGCGGCGAAGGCGGCUUUCUGGUCCGAUUCUGACGCUGAGGCGCGAAAGCAUGGGGAGCGAACAGG
rnacentral:rRNA from 1 species